CAUUACCGAGUUGAUUCGGGCUCCGGCCCGAUCCUCCCACCCUUUGUGUACCUACCUCUGUUGCUUUGGCGGGCCGCGGUCCUCCGCGGCCGCCCCCCUCCCCGGGGGGGUGGCCAGCGCCCGCCAGAGGACCAUCAAACUCCAGUCAGUAAACGAUGCAGUCUGAAAAACAUUUAAUAAACUAAAACUUUCAACAACGGAUCUCUUGGUUCUGGCAUCGAUGAAGAACGCAGCGAAAUGCGAUAAGUAAUGUGAAUUGCAGAAUUCAGUGAAUCAUCGAAUCUUUGAACGCACAUUGCGCCCUUUGGUAUUCCGAAGGGCAUGCCUGUUCGAGCGUCAUUACAACCCUCAAGCUCUGCUUGGUAUUGGGCACCGUCCUUUGCGGGCGCGCCUCAAAGACCUCGGCGGUGGCGUCUUGCCUCAAGCGUAGUAGAACAUACAUCUCGCUUCGGAGCGCAGGGCGUCGCCCGCCGGACGAACCUUCUGAACUUUUCUCAAGGUUGACCUCGGAUCAGGAAGGGAUACCCGCUGAACUUAAGCAUAUCA
rnacentral:rRNA from 1 species